UACAGAGGUCUCAAGCGUUGUUCGGAUUCAUUGGGCGUAAAGGGUGCGUAGGCGGCUUGUCGCGUCGACUGUGAAAACCCGCGGCUCAACCGUGUGGUCUGCAGUCGAUACGGGCAGGCUAGAGUUCGGUAGGGGAGACUGGAAUUCCUGGUGUAGCGGUGAAAUGCGCAGAUAUCAGGAGGAACACCGAUGGCGAAGGCGGUUCUCUGGGCCUUACCUGACGCUGAGGAGCGAAAGCGUGGGGAGCGAACAGG
rnacentral:rRNA from 1 species